AGUGAACGCUGGCGGUAGGCCUAACACAUGCAAGUCGAACGGCAGCACAGUAAGAGCUUGCUCUUACGGGUGGCGAGUGGCGGACGGGUGAGGAAUACAUCGGAAUCUACUUUUUCGUGGGGGAUAACGUAGGGAAACUUACGCUAAUACCGCAUACGACCUACGGGUGAAAGCAGGGGAUCUUCGGACCCUGCGCGAUUGAAUGAGCCGAUGUCGGAUUAGCUAGUUGGCGGGGUAAAGGCCCACCAAGGCGACGAUCCGUAGCUGGUCUGAGAGGAUGAUCAGCCACACUGGAACGGAGACACGGUCCAGACUCCUACGGGAGGCAGCAGUGGGGAAUAUUGGACAAUGGGCGCAAGCCUGAUCCAGCCAUACCGCGUGGGUGAAGAAGGCCUUCGGGUUGUAAAGCCCUUUUGUUGGGAAAGAAAAGCAGCAGGUUAAUACCCCGCUGUUCUGACGGUACCCAAAGAAUAAGCACCGGCUAACUUCGUG
rnacentral:rRNA from 1 species